AAAAAUACUAUGCAGCAAUGUCUUCAUUUAAUCCCCUAUUUAUAACUUCACAUGCUUCUAGAGAGAGAGAGAGAGAGAGAGAGAGGGGGGAUACAUUGAUCAUAUCGCCUCCCCGUAUGUGUUGAAGAGAGAGAAAGGAAAGAAGAGGACUCACAUGCAUUAAUCAUGUUGGGAAACCAAUCCAUAUGUGACCAAUCGAAUAGAAUCUCACAGGACAAAUUUUGCCUUUGUCGAUAAGAGCACGCUAUACCAUUCUCGUGUCUCUGUACCUCUGCAAUUCCAAUUCCCUGUCUUCUAUAUUAAUGGAAACCACUCCAAGGGAUAGAGAGAGAGAGAGGGAAUAUCUGG
rnacentral:lncRNA from 1 species